AACGGCUAGGGACUGAGGUAUCUGUCUUAAUUUACCUUUUUAUUCUUUUUUUCCUGAAGUCAGUAUUUGUUUAAGCUAAUCAUUAAACCUGGUGUUAUGCAAAGAUAAGAAGGCUCUUCUUCAGAAUUUAGGGUUUGAUUUUGCCACCAAAAAUGUAUGACAUUCUUCAAUCAAAUGAUAUCAAUGAAAAGUAGCCAUUCUAAUAAUCAAAGCAUAGCUAUUGCCUGCAGUUCCAUGUAUUUCUAAGCGGGAGUCAUUGUGCUCUUAACUUUGAUGAUUUUUAAAUUCUGGAGACUAUAAUUUCAUAAAAGUAAAACCACAAAACAAAAUAGUUCUGCUGCCUACAACUUUCUAUGAAUGAAAUGAGCUUAUUUCAAAUUUGUACUUGUCAAAAGGAUGAGUUAUAUUACUGAUUUUCAUUUCAUGAUGCCCUGGGCUCUAGCUGUAUUGGACAGGAAAAAGGUGAUAGAUUUGUCUCCAAAAACUCAAUUUUGUUUUUUCAUUUUCUUCUUUGGACAUAAUUGCAAUGUGUCUACUGUUUGCAGUACUUUGUAGGCUAAAUACACACAUGAGAUAUGUUUAAGAAUUGUGGACAGUUAUGUCUUAAGUGUAACAUGAUUGGAUGGAUGCAGGCUUUAGAAUGCUGUUGUCAUUUGAAGUUUUGCUGUUAUGGUCUUCAAUUGAGGUUUUCCUUUCAUCUUUUAGGAUUUGGACCUGUAUGGAAUCCUGGCUGAGGUUGGAAGGCGUGGCAUAGCCUUUGAUGAAUUGCUAACUACACCAGAACAAGAUGAAUGGAUAUACAGUGAUGGGAAAUCAACAACAUGUGUUGCCUUCAUCCUUGCAAUGUAUAAGGAGGCUGGAGU
rnacentral:misc_RNA from 1 species